rnacentral:lncRNA from 1 species
AAAAAAAUCAAGUCAAGCAUUCAAGAAAUCGACCUACACUCUACUAUCAAGAAAUCGAAUUCCAAUCUUCAUCUUCAAGGAAUCAUUCUAAAUCAUGGAUAAUUGGGUUCCAAGUCAACAAACUCAAGUAAGCAUUAUUAUCUUAAUCUACUGUUUUUCUUUUAAUUAUUAUGAUCUUAUUCUUUCAAAGUGUUAUCAUUGCUAUUUUAUCAUAUUAAAUACAAUAUGCUAUGUUAAAAUUGCUAAUCUAUUUCAAUGUAUUAUGUGAUUGUAAAUCAUUGUCUUGUUGUAAUUUAGAUUAAUGACUGUAUUUCAAUGUUAAAGAACAUAUUUUUCUAUUUUAUGAUAUUAAAAUCAUUUUGUUAUUGUGUUUUAGAUUGAUGAUGAAGAUGUUUUGGUUGAUAACACUCAAAUUGACAACAAAGACGGAAAAGGUCAAACAACAAAGAAGAAGAAAAAAUAUGCCAAAAGAAGGGCUUGUUGGGCCGAUUAUGAUGAAGUUAAGGUUAACAACGUUCAACAUAGCAAAUGCAAAUGGUGUGA